CCAGCCGUAAACGAUGGGUACUAGGUGUGGGUGGCGACAGUCAUCCGUGCCGUAGUUAACGCGCUAAGUACCCCGCCUGGGGAGUACGGCCGCAAGGCUGAAACUCAAAGGAAUUGACGGGGGCCCGCACAAGCGGUGGAGCAUGUGGUUUAAUUCGAAGCAACGCGAAAAACCUUACCAGGGCUUGACAUCCCUUGCCGGUCAUGGAAACAUGACUUCUUCUUCGGAAGCAAGGAGACAGGUGG
rnacentral:rRNA from 1 species